AACCUUUAUGUUAGACCUCAAAUCAGGUAGGACUACCCGCUGAACUUAAGCAUAUCAAUAAGCGGAGGAAAAGAAACUAACAAGGAUUCCCCUAGUAGCGGCGAGCGAACCGGGAAGAGCUCAAAUUUAAAAUCUGGCGUCCUUCGGGCGUCCGAGUUGUAAUCUACAGAAGUGUUUUCCGUGCCGGACCGUGUCCAAGUCCCUUGGAAUAGGGUAUCAAAGAGGGUGAUAAUCCCGUACUUGACACGACAACCGGUGCUCU
rnacentral:rRNA from 1 species